rnacentral:rRNA from 1 species
GACGAACGCUGGCGGCGGGCUUAACACAUGCCAGUCGAACGGAAGGGCCCUGCUUUCUUCUGGUUCUCGAGUGGCGAACGGGUGUGUAACACAUGAGUCUCCUGCCCUUGACUUUGUGACAACUUCAGGCAACUGCGGCUAAUACCGGCUAGCUGCUCCUGCUGCUUGGUGGUCGUCGGAAAGCUUCGGCGGUUGGGGAUGUACUCGCGGUUUAUUAGCUGGUUGGUGGGGGAGUGGCUUACCCAGGCAUCGAUGGGUAGGCGGCAUGGGAGGGUGAACGGCGACAUUGGGACUGAGAUACGGAGCAGACGCGUACGGGAGGCAACAGUGGGGAGUAUGACACAGUGGGCGGGAGUGUGAGGCAGAGACGUCGCGAGCGGGAUGACGGCCAUCGGGUUGUAAACCGCUGUCGGCUGUGACGAAGCGGUAGUGACGGUAAUGGGUGAAGAAGCACCGGCUAACUACGUG